rnacentral:rRNA from 1 species
AUUGAACGCUGGCGGCAUGCCUUACACAUGCAAGUCGAACGGUAACAGGUCUUCGGAUGCUGACGAGUGGCGAACGGGUGAGUAAUACAUCGGAACGUGCCCGAUCGUGGGGGAUAACGAAGCGAAAGCUUUGCUAAUACCGCAUAAGAUCUACGGAUGAAAGCAGGGGACCGCAAGGCCUUGCGCGAACGGAGCGGCCGAUGGCAGAUUAGGUAGUUGGUGGGAUAAAAGCUUACCAAGCCGACGAUCUGUAGCUGGUCUGAGAGGACGACCAGCCACACGGGGACUGAGACACGGCUCAGACUCCUACGGGAGGCAGCAGUGGGGAAUUUUGGACAAUGGGCGAAAGCCUGAUCCAGCCAUACCGCGUGCAGGAUGAAGGCCUUCGGGUUGUAAACUGCUUUUGUACGGAACGAAAAGACUCUUUCUAAUAAAGAGGGUCCAUGACGGUACCGCAAGAAUAAGCACCGGCUAACUACGUGCCAGCAGCCGCCGCCGUAA